AACGUAGGAGACAAACGUUAUCCGGAGUUACUGGGCGUAAAGGGCGUGUAGGCGGUUCGUUAAGUCAGGGGUGAAAUCCCGGGGCUCAACCUCGGAACUGCCUUUGAUACUGCAAAUCUCGAGUCCGGAAGAGGUGAGUGGAAUUCCUAGUGUAGAGGUGAAAUUCGUAGAUAUUAGGAAGAACACCAGUGGCGAAGGCGACUCACUGGACAUGUAUUGACGCUGAGGUGCGAAAGCGUGGGGAGCAAACAGG
rnacentral:rRNA from 1 species